rnacentral:lncRNA from 1 species
CGGAGAGCUGCUGCUAGCUACCUGCUCGCCUGUGCUUCAGCCCUCAGUCUCACAAACACUAUAUGGAUGAUGGAGCCAAGAUCCCCAGGGAGAACUGAGUGUCCCUCACUCUCGGGCAGAUACUCAACAGCCUUCUGACAUUCCAAAACUUCCCAUCACCAGAAAUCAGCUCACGGAUGGGAUACUGUCUUUUGAAACUAACUAACCAUGAGGAAUGGCAGGAUCUUCAACUAACGCUAUUGCAGAAACUUCUGGAGAGCUUUAAGGUGUACCCCCCG